GUACACUCCUACGGGAGGCAGCAGUGGGGAAUUUUGGACAAUGGGCGAAAGCCUGAUCCAGCAAUGCCGCGUGAGUGAAGAAGGCCUUCGGGUUGUAAAGCUCUUUUGUCAGGGAAGAAACGGUGAAAGCUAAUAUCUUUUGCUAAUGACGGUACCUGAAGAAUAAGCACCGGCUAACUACGUGCCAGCAGCCGCGGUAAUACGUAGGGUGCAAGCGUUAAUCGGAAUUACUGGGCGUAAAGCGUGCGCAGGCGGUUUUGUAAGUCUGAUGUGAAAUCCCCGGGCUCAACCUGGGAAUUGCAUUGGAGACUGCAAGGCUAGAAUCUGGCAGAGGGGGGUAGAAUCCCACGUGUAGCAGUGAAAUGCGUAGAUAUGUGGAGGAACACCGAUGGCGAAGGCAGCCCCCUGGGUCAAGAUUGACGCUCAUGCACGAAAGCGUGGGGAGCAAACAGGAUUAGAAACCCUAGUAGUCCCAU
rnacentral:rRNA from 1 species